AGACUGGCGGCGUUGCAUACUGAUUGAGUGAAUCAAUAGAAUUUUCUGUUGCGUCGCACCUAAUAGAAUUCGUAUUGCGUUGCAUCAUCUGAAGUAAUGUUGUCGGGGAUUAUGUCAUCAUAAUAUUGCUAAAGGCAGGGAUACCUGAAUCGAUGCCAUAUCGGUUUGUGUAAGUAUGAAAUCAUCGACAUUUGUUCCUGUUGUAAUGUAUUCUAUGCAUCGUCUUCCUAUCUUUCCUAUACCGAUUUCAUCACAGUAAGUUUUCGAGAAUGACAUCCCUAUUCAGACUGGUGUUAAACGUCGGUACCGUCUACGAAUUUAAAUACCGGGCAUUGUCCCGCCUCAAAAUGCUCCUCUCUCUCUCUCUCUCCUAAAGCCACACCAUGUUAUGCAGAUGUUAAUCCAGAUGGAACCUGAAUAAAUGGCAAAAGUGCUAACGGUAGCAGGAAUAACAACAAAGACGGAGAAACCAUAAACAAUGGGAAAUUACUGUAGUGAAUCACGCGGGUUAAAAGCUAUAACCGCACCUCGUCAGUUCUGUUUGGAACGCCAAUCUCGGAACGAUCUUUUUUUUUCAGCUGCGUGUCUGCCAGGCUCCGGUUGCUAUAGAUGUACUUUUUCUUUAAAAUAAAAUUGGAAAAAAAAGGUGUUUUCAUUGGUAUAGGCAUGUACAGCUCUAUCAUCUCUUUGACGUAAUUUGCUUGGAAUGGCUGAGAAGCAAAAACACUUUCAAAACAGAGCGAUUGCUGCGUAAAAUGUUUGACCUUCGAAGAAAACUGAAUCUUCCAGGUAACCGUUUGACUCCCAGCUGCUCCUCCCCCUCCGUGCACCAUCACAUCCACUACAUUAUGAAACUCUUCGCUCAGCGCUGAACCCAAGCUGCCAUGCCCAACCAAACAUGUAACAUUAUGGAAUGUUUUUGCUCACUUAUUCCUCCAUUGCACGUACGUUUAGUUUUAAUGUUAUCCUUGUAAGUCCAUUAACAAAACAAGUAUUUAAAUGAUUAUUUUCAUCAGCAUGCGUGCGGCAGUGUUAUACGAGCAAUGGCUUGAAUCACAAAUAAACUAGGAAUAAACGAUAACCGUUGCGACGCUAUAAGCUAACCUACGCAUCGCCUCGUGGAUCGCCUUGGCUACUUUCCGGUGACCGGUAUAAAGGCCCCAUCCCAGUCGAAGGUGGCAUCACUCUCCGCCCAGACGUCAACAGACAAACACGCGCCAGCGUUUCUCCUCGGCAAACACAAAGUUCCCCGUCGUCUGUGCUUCGCUGUAGUAUACUUCGUCUCCGGCAUCAUGGUGGACGUUUGCGAUAUAAUCCUUUUCGUGGGGUUGUUGGUUUUGCCAACGGCCCUGGUGGGUGUGCUCGUGUACUCCGGACAGCCUCUGGAAAGUGGGGUGAUGGCAGUGGCACUUCUGGUACUCCUCGUGUUUAUGGUUUUGAUUUUGAUCAAGCACUUCAUUGCGAAGAGGAAUAAGUCCAAGGAGGACUCGCUCGAGAAAGAGGUCGGACUUGAAAUUCCCCCAGACGUGGUCUGAGAAAGCAAGGAUUGACGCUGACAAUUCCGUCCGAAGGAGGAUGCCUUGUUCUUUUUCCAAGAAAAGAAAACAGGCAGCCCAAUGCCGACAAGGAACCUUGCUCUGUGCCUUGUAAGGUCACGAGAAGACCUCUUGGUCCUCCCCAGCUUGAAGGGGGCACAUCUCAAGCCAAGCUAGUGGAGCUGCCCCCUUCUGCGUAGGAGGAAAUCUUGAGGACAUCAACGGCACCAGUUCAUCAGAAGUGUGACUUCAGAUCCUGAGAACGAGACAUUAGAUUGCUUCGCAUUGUUGUUAAUAAUGCUCGUGAUCGAAGCUUUUACGUUUUCUCUGCUGGUGUUGAAGUCGAAAGCAGGAAAUAUCUCGCUGUUGUGGUUUUUGCGUCCUUGGCAGUUGGAUGCUGCUUGAUAGAACAGUAGAGUUACAAAGUGGUGAAUCGUUACCUUAGUAACCAAAAGUGGUGAGAGAAGUUAGUAGUACUUGUUACUUGGAUGCUGAUCAAGCGUCAUGUACGAGCAGCAGUGCUAUAUAUUUCAGCUUGUGCUGAUAAUGAGAGAAUGCAAGACAAAUAAAUUGUCUGAUAACAGUGAAAA